rnacentral:pre_miRNA from 1 species
AUUCUACUCCCUCUGUUGCACAAUACAUGCCUUCUAUUUGUCAAAAUAUAUAUGUAUCUAGACAUGUUUUAGUAUAUACGUACAUCCAUUUUUGGACAAAUGGAAGUCAAGUAUUUUGGAACGGAGGGAGUACACA